GGUCUAGAGGGGGUAGGCCGCACGAUGAGUGCCCUGCUGGGAAUGGAACACCUCCGACACUGGCCUGUUGGCUCAUCUUCCCAGGUCAUUAAUCCAACAUUCUGUCAUUAGCGGACCCACGCUGUUCCCCAGCAGCUGUCCUUCACACUUGAUCGCAGUACAUUGAAGUGCUUAUUAAACAGAGCACAGGGCUGGACGGUGGGCUUCUGUUGACACAAACGAGCGCUGGGUGACCACUGGGCCUCCCCGGAAUCAUGAAGGGUGCUCGCCAUUCAUUAGCGGUGCUCUCUCCAGCUUAAGAUGCAAACAAGUGGCGCUUUAAGAUGUUUGUUUUUGGGUCAGGAGACUAACAACAGCACACAUGGGGAUUAGGAAGCGCUUGCUUCAUUUAAGCAAACA
rnacentral:lncRNA from 1 species